rnacentral:rRNA from 1 species
AGCUCCAAUAGCGUAUAUUAAAAUUGUUGCAGUUAAAAAGCUCGUAGUUGGAUUUCUGGUAUGGCGCACUUGACCCACCAUGGUUCACAUGGUUGCUGUGUCGGCGUGCGCCUUCCAUCCUUCGAGUGAAAUACUUCUACUCUUUACUGGGUUGGGAGUAUCUUAGCUCGAUCUUUUACUUUGAAAAAAUUAGAGUGUUUAAAGCAGGCUUGCGCUAUGAAUACAUUAGCAUGGAAUAAUAAUUUAGGACUUUGGUCUUAUUUUGUUGGUUUCUAGGACUAAAGUAAUGAUUGAUAGGGACAGUUGGGGGUGCUAGUAUUCAGCGGCCAGAGGUGAAAUUCUUGGAUUCGCUGAAGACUAACUUAUGCGAAAGCAUUCACCAAGGAUGUCUUCU